rnacentral:misc_RNA from 1 species
GACACAAGACAGGCAGGCAACAACAGUCAAUGAUGUCAGUGGAAAGACUCUACAUCCUCCUACUUCUUUACUUCAGCCGUUGUGUUGGUUUGGCUAGAUCAGUCUCAUGCUU